AUUAUAAAAAAAAAAUCCCAUUUAUAUUUCAUUAUCUUCCGGAGAGUCUGAGAGAGAGAUAGAUUUUCGGAAUCAGAAACCCUAAAGAAGAAUGGAGAAAGAUAAACCAAGCAAACGUUCGCGGGACGAACGCGAUCACCACCACCACAAGCAUCGAACUGUAGAUGCCGACGACAAGCGAUCUUUCAGGGAUUCCGAUCACCAUCGCCACCACCGAUCGGACCGUGAUUCCAAGCGAGAACGCUCUCACGAGCCGCGCGACCACAAAUCUCGCCGCGAACGCUCCUCCUCCGAGCCCAACGAUGACCGCGAGGGCUUGCGCGAUCGUGAUUCCAAGCAGCGCGAGAGGUCCUACGAGAGAGAAGGGAGCAGAGAUAGAGAUAGGGCUAAGCAUCGCGAGGAUGAGUCCGUGGAGAGGAGGCAUAAGAGGAAGGAGAGGGGAGGGAGUGAGGAUAGAGGGUUUGAUGGUGGAGAGAAGAGAGCCAAAGUUUUGGAGGAAGUGAAGAAGGAGAAGAAGCGGUUUGAUGAGGAUGGGAAGGAUAUCGUCAAUGGUGGUCAGAGGGAGAGAAGGAGGUUUGAGGAUCGUCGGCUGAAGGAAGAAGAAUUCUAUGACAAAGACAAUGACGGAGUUUCCGUGCAAGGGGAGGAGCUGAAUACGAGUGAUGUUAAGGACGUUAAAAAACAAGUGGCUGAUGGUCAUUUUGAUAAUUCUCAGAGCGCCACUGGCACCGCUAAUGGGGGUGGUUUGGGUGGUGGUCUGGAAUCACUCGCAAUGGCAUCAAGGAAUGUGCCUGAGACUUCUUUAUCCCCUAGCCAUCCCCUUCCUACAAAGGUAUCUUCAAUUUCUACCACACAUGAAAAUAAGGGAGUUAGUAUUACCAGGUCUCAUGAGGUUCAUGGAAAAUCUAGUACAGAUGGGACAUCUUCAACGGCUGGAAAAAGUGGAAAUCUUUCUGUUGAUGCUGUUAAGAAAACUUUACAGAAGCAGAAGGAACUGUUGGAGAAGCUGAAGAACAAUAAAAAUUUGUUGAACAAAGGUGCUAAGUCAAAUUCAGAUAACCUGGUCCCAAAAGAGGGGCUGAAGCCGCCACCUGUUUCUGUUGGAACGGUGCAUGGUUUGACACCUUCAUCGGCGACCACUUCAGCUAUUUCUGAGGCAACAUUGAAUUCCUCAACCUUAAUUGCUGGUGGUUCAUCUUCUGUGACGAGUGGCACAACUGCUCCUGCUGGUCUUACAACUAUUAAGAAUUUUGAGGCUGUAAAACGUGCACAGGAGCUGGCUGCCAGGAUGGGAUUCCGUCAGGACCCUGAGUUUGGUCCUCUCAUAAACUUGUUUCCAGGGCAGGUUGCUACAGAUUCUCCCCCUCCUCAGAAGCCUACUAAAUCCCUUGUCCUUCGUCUUGAUGCUCAUGGUAGGGAAAUCGAUGAACAUGGAAAUGUAGUGAAUGUGACUAAACCAAGCAACCUCAGCACCCUAAAGGUGAACAUUAACAAACAGAAGAAAGAUGCAUUCCAAAUUCUUAAACCUGAUUUAGAAGUGGAUCCAGAAUCAAAUCCCCAUUUUGAUGCAAGGAUGGGUAUUAAUAAAACUAAACUCCUGAGGCCUAAGAGGAUGAAUUUCCUGUUUGUAGAGGAGGGCAAAUGGUCUAAAGAGGCUGAGCAUAUAAAAUUGAAGAGUAAAUUUGGAGAGGCACAAGCAAAAGAGCAAAAGGCUAAGCAGGCACAGCUGGCAAAGGCAAAGGCAGCACCUGAUAUAAAUCCAAACUUGAUAGAGGUAUCAGAGAGAGUUAUCAUCAAAGAAAAGCCUAAGGAACCAAUUCCUGAAGUUGAGUGGUGGGAUGUGCCUCUUUUAUAUUCUGGUACUUAUGGUGAUAUCUUUGAUGGUGUCAUGCCUGAAGAUAGAAUAAAGAUGGAAAAAAUCACCAUCUAUAUUGAACAUCCUCGUCCUAUUGAGCCCCCUGCUGAUCCAGCUCCUCCACCACCUCAGCCCCUUAAGCUGACAAAGAAAGAACAGAAGAAACUACGUACACAGCGUCGACUGGCUAGGGAGAAAGAUAGGCAAGAGAUGAUUCGACAAGGCCUGAUUGAACCUCCAAAGCCUAAAGUUAAAAUGAGCAACCUGAUGAAGGUUCUUGGGUCAGAAGCAACCCAAGAUCCAACAAGGCUCGAAAAGGAAAUUCGGAGUGCAGCUGCUGAGCGUGAACAAGCUCACAUUGAUAGGAAUAUUGCACGCAAGCUCACCCCUUCUGAGCGACGUGAGAAGAAAGAAAGGAAGCUUUUUGAUGAUCCAAAUACAGUGGAGACCAUAGUCUCAGUUUACAAGAUAAAUGACCUUUCGCAUCCUCAAUCCCGUUUCAAAGUUGAUAUGUUUGCACGAGAGAAUCGAUUGACUGGUUGUGCUGUUAUUUCUGAUGGGAUUACUGUUGUGGUUGUGGAAGGUGGAAGUAAGUCGAUAAAGAGGUAUGGAAAGGUUAUGCUCAGGCGCAUAAACUGGGCUAAUGCUGUAACAAACGAGGAUGAGGAUGAAGAUGAAAGUGAUGACAAACCUGUUAACAAGUGUGUGUUAGUUUGGCAAGGAAGUGUUGCAAAACCAGCCUUCAAUAGAUUUUUGAUUCAUGAUUGCAUGACUGAAGCUGCUGCUCGCAAAAUUUUUUCUGAUGCUGGAGUUGUUCACUACUGGGAUAUCGCUGUCAAUUUUUCAGAGGAUCAAGUAUAACUGCUCAAGCUGCUUGCAGUGAAGUAUUUCCGGUUUGUUGUAAAUGUCUUUCAACUUGAUAUCUUUUUCCUCAACAUUUUGAUGAAAAUAGGCUUUCAUUUCUAUUUGAAGAGUGGAUGGUUCUCUUGCUCAUUUGGUUCUCUGCUCCAUUUCCUUUGAAACUACUAUGCUGCCGAAGAUGGUUCUUUGUGGUAAAUUCUGUUAUUUUAUGAUGUUUUUCACUUGUUAUAAAUUUUUUUUUUUCUUUGGCUAUGCUAAUCUCUAUCUGGCUAUAUAUAUAUAUAUAUAUAUAGAUAUAUCUAUAUCUAUAUCUAUAAAAUGGACCACUGGUAUUUAUAUUCCAUAAUGAACAGGUCAGACCUUAGUUUCUUAAUGGGAUACGCCUCUUCCUAUUCGUUCACAUUUUUUAUUUGGUUUGGUUAUUUUUUUCCAUCAAAAAAGAUAAGAGUGAGAUACAAUAGUCCUCGACCGUCUAGUGUAUUUUUUCUCUUUAUUUUUGUUGGUGUGUUUUUUACUUUUUCCGAUAUAAAGAAUGGUUAAUACAUGAUCCUCGCAGACAAUUCCUUUAUUUCUUUUUGUUUAUUUAUAGGUCUUGGCAAAUGGAAGACGUUUGCGUUUGUGUUUUUUUUUUUACUUUUUCCGAUAUAAAGAAUGGUUAAUGCAUGAUCCUCGCAGACAUGUCCUUUACUGUUUUUUGUUUAUUUAUAGGUCUUGGCAAAUAGAAUACAUUUUUGCGUUUAUUUAUGCAUUUUGUGUUGUGUUGAGUGGGAGUGAGAGUGAGACCCACCAGUUAGGAGUUGUGGUAGUAAAGCUUGUUAAAAAGGCUCCGAGUGCCUAAUUUAUUAUGAAUAUAAUCAUAAACCUUAUCAUUCAAUU